rnacentral:miRNA from 1 species
ACAGGGAGAGGGGGCAGCCUGG